UAAUCAGAAAAAAAUCAAGCACUUUGAAACUAUGUUCUUACCAGACCUCUGGAUAUGCACAGAUGGCAACGUAAAUGGUCUCAUUAGUUAAAAUCAGGAGGAACCAAGUAGCUCAGAGCUGUCUGUGGGAAGAACUAUUAAAAACAGAGUCUGAAGUGAUUUCUGAGGAGGAGGCAAAUGCCUCUGCCAGCUGCAAAAAUACAAAGAGGAAGGAAAUUUGAAAUCCUCUCCCUUCACACACUAUCUCUACAACUACUUAUCAGUAUGAAUUAGAUGACAUUGACUGAGGGACAGAUAUUGUUUUCACUGGUGGGGAAGCAAAACCCUGAACAAUGGCUGCUGUUACUGAAUUAGUAUUAAAAGAUGGAGCACAAAGAGCCACUGAAAUCAAACAGAGAGGAAAUGUAAAAGAAAAUGAGUGAAAACAAUGAAAGGCUAAAGGAGAAAGACCAAAGACAGGGAGAAAAACAGUAUGUUAGGGAGAGAACUUAAAGAAGUACAGAGGAGCACAAUCAAUGCCCUAUUGAGGGCUCUGCUUCUCAUUACUUUAUGAUUGUUUUCUCUGUGUUUUUAUUUCAACAGGGAAUUUGAACUUGAUCUUUCACCCUUAAACUUUUCCUUUCUUUUCUCACCUGUCCACAGCUAUCGCUGUCAUGGAGUAGAUGCUGGCGAAGACAGCUGUGAUUGGGAAGAAAUUGUGGAAGCGGCAGUAAGCCUCUCCAAAGUACCACUCACUGUGCAGUGCGUAGAUGAAGUUGAUGAGAGUAUUGAAAGCAGCCAUGGAGGCAUCGGAGAAGGCCAGGUUCACCAGGAAGUAAUUGGUCACUGUCCUCAUGCGCUUGUGAGCCAGGAUAAUCCAGAUGACAAUGAGAUUUCCAAAAACAGCCACUGCCACCACACCACCGUAAGCCAAAGACCACAGGGCAAUGCGCCAAGAGGGCUGCACAAACUGGUUGGAGAAGUUGGCUGCUGAGGAUGCCAGAGGGGGAGAAAUGCUUCCAGCUGGUGCUCCCAGUUCCUGUUCCCAGGGAUCAUCCACUGCAGCAAGGCUAAUAUUCCACCUGCUGCUCAUGCUCAUGUUCCAGUUGGCUGUGGGGACAGAAGUCAUCGUGGAUGUUCCUCUCCUCAGUUCCAGGAAUGAUGUGCCUUUCCCACCUCCCUCUCCCAACCCACCAAUAGCACCACGAACACGUAAGAACAGGAAAGAAAGAAAAAAGUGAGGCAGCACAGCAGGCACUGGGAAGGAGAGACCUGUCAGAAAAGCUUUGGCUACUUUGUUCAACUGUUAGAAAUGCCCUACCAGCUGAGUCUGGAGAGCUACCUCUGGGUAGAGCAGCAUCCUAUUCCUCCUCUGUACAGCCACCUCUUCUUUUUGAUUUUGCUGAAGGAGAAGCAGACUGGGAGCCAAGGCACAUUUUAUAGGCUUGUGAGUUCCCAGCGUCAUGAAGGGAGUGGAGCAAUAAGCUCCAUCAGCUGUACCUGUGCCUGCAAGUCCCAGGCAGAGGACAAAGGAUCACAUGUUUGACUCAGAAACUGAACUGGAUUCUACUCCCACUAAACUCCAUGAAUGUUCGUGGGCAACUUAAAGAAAACAGAGAGCUUCACUGAGAACUUACCUGUCUAAAUAAAUGGGACAAAUGGGGAGCAGAGCUCAUCUCAAAAGGAAUCUGAAUUGAAAUAGAUGUCACAGGCAUUCCUGACCACAGCAAACCUCAGAAAACAGCCAUCGAUAGCCUUGGCCUUGUACAGCUGACCCUAUUUGGACUAUGAUUACCUCUCCAAAAUUCACCCAGAGUAUACUGGCAACCAGAAUGAAGUAUGAGCCCUGUCUGCCUGGAAGACUAACAACUUAGCUAUGGAGAUUGGCUUUGCGUGCUAUGUUACUCAAGUCUGCCUUUUAGGGAAUGAUGAUGCUACACAGUGAUGAAAGGCACCUGAGUCCUUUCCUGAAAUGACAAAGGACUGGAGAGCUCUGUGGUACCUCCUCACAUUCACUUCGAGCUUUGCUUUAUGUCUCCACUCAUCCUACAUCACAAGCGUCCAAAUUCUGCCUGUGCCACUGGAGUGCCACUGACUGGUUGUAUUGAGUCAGCACUGGGCACCAGAUCUGUUUUCCUUGUGAUGUUCUAUUGCAUUAACUCUUUGGAGCCACAAAAAUCAACAGAGCUGGCAAAGUAUGGGGCUCUGGUUUUUUUGACCUGGAGCAGCUGCAAAGAAAAGUCUGAACUGGACUCUUCCGAGAGGUGCAGCAGCAUAAGAUAAGAGGCAAUGGCUGUAAAUCGACAUGCAGGAAACCUGGAUUGGAGAUUAGCAAAAUGUUUCUUCAUGAGAAAGGCAUUCAAAACACUGGAGCAGGAGCCCACUGAGUCUGUGGUCUCCAUCCUCAGCAAUAUUAUAACCCCAUCUGGACAAGACUGUGCACAACCUGAUUUAAUUAGCACUGCUUUGUGCAGGGGUUGCCCUACAUGACCCCUGAGUCCCUCCCAGUCUGAAUUAUUCUGUGAUCCUGUGGUCGGCACAGAGAACAGAAGAAAGGGGAAAGCACCGUAAGGAAUUUUACAAUCUUCUAUUCACUGUAAACCAAGAGCCAGCCAAGACCAAGUUGGAUCCCCAAACUUCCUACGCUGAUAGCCUCUGCCCAAAUCCUGUCUGGCAGAAGAGAAAUGAGAAGGAGGAGGCAGAACAGGGAUGUGCUAGGAGAGCGCCGUGGUCAACAGGAUUUCCAUCAAAUGGCUUUGCUCCUGCUAUGAGCCCUGAUCUCCCGUAGCUGGGUCUUCUUCUUCUUCUGAAACUCAACUGCCUGUCAAAGCAAGACUGUAGCGACACCAAGGGCUCUGCACAAAAUUCUUCUGUUUGCUUCUGCAUUUGAUUAGCUGCCUGCAUUUUGUGUUUUAAUUUCCUGCCAUUGAAGCACAUUGCUGUCAUGGUGAUAGAUGCUAUAGAAAUGAGUAAAAUAAAUAAAUAAAAGUUCAGAACACUUUUGACCAAGCCUGCGCUAAUUAGCACAUAAGACAAACAGACAAGUGUU